rnacentral:piRNA from 1 species
UGCACUUUAUGGCCAUGCCAAAUUCUAUAUGG